AGAGUUUGAUCCUGGCUCAGAUUGAACGCUGGCGGAAUGCUUUACACAUGCAAGUCGAACGGCAGCACGGGAGCUUGCUCCUGGUGGCGAGUGGCGAACGGGUGAGUAAUGCGUCGGAACGUACCGAGUAAUGGGGGAUAACGCAGCGAAAGUUGUGCUAAUACCGCAUACGCCCCGAGGGGGAAAGCAGGGGAUCGCAAGACCUUGCGUUAUUCGAGCGGCCGACGUCUGAUUAGCUAGUUGGUGGGGUAAAGGCCUACCAAGGCGACGAUCAGUAGCGGGUCUGAGAGGAUGAUCCGCCACACUGGAACUGAGACACGGUCCAGACUCCUACGGGAGGCAGCAGUGGGGAAUUUUGGACAAUGGGGGCAACCCUGAUCCAGCCAUUCCGCGUGAGUGAAGAAGGCCUUCGGGUUGUAAAGCUCUUUCAGCUGGAACGAAACGGUACGCUCUAACAUAGUGUGCUAAUGACGGUACCAGCAGAAGAAGCACCGGCUAACUACGUGCCAGCAGCCGCGGUAAUACGUAGGGUGCGAGCGUUAAUCGGAAUUACUGGGCGUAAAGCGUGCGCAGGCGGAUUGUUAAGCAAGAUGUGAAAUCCCCGGGCUUAACCUGGGAAUGGCAUUUUGAACUGGCAGUCUAGAGUGUGUCAGAGGGGGGUAGAAUUCCACGUGUAGCAGUGAAAUGCGUAGAGAUGUGGAGGAAUACCGAUGGCGAAGGCAGCCCCCUGGGAUAACACUGACGCUCAUGUACGAAAGCGUGGGUAGCAAACAGGAUUAGAUACCCUGGUAGUCCACGCC
rnacentral:rRNA from 1 species